GCUUUUUCCGACCGUAAGGUGGUCGGCGAAUAAGGGCUGGGCAAGACCCGGUGCCAGCCGCCGCGGUAAUACCGGCAGCCCAAGUGAUGACCGAUAUUAUUGGGCUAAAGCGUCCGUAGCCGGCCAUGAAGGUUCAUCGGGAAAUCCGCCAGCUCAACUGGCGGGCGUCCGGUGAAAACCACGUGGCUUGGGACCGGAAGGCUCGAGGGGUACGUCCGGGGUAGGAGUGAAAUCCCGUAAUCCUGGACGGACCACCGAUGGCGAAAGCACCUCGAGAAGACGGAUCCGACGGUGAGGGACGAAAGCUAGGGUCUCGAACCGGAUUAGAUACCCGGGUAGUCCUAGCUGUAAACGAUGCUCGCUAGGUGUGGCACAGGCUACGAGCCUGUGCUGUGCCGUAGGGAAGCCGAGAAGCGAGCCGCCUGGGAAGUACGUCCGCAAGGAUGAAACUUAAAGGAAUUGGCGGGGGAGCACUACAACCGGAGGAGCCUGCGGUUUAAUUGGACUCAACGCCGGACAUCUCACCAGCUCCGACUAUAGUAAUGACGGUCAGGUUGAUGACCUUGCCACGACGCUAUAGAGAGGAGGUGCAUGGCCGCCGUCAGCUCGUACCGUGAGGCGUCCUGUUAAGUCAGGCAACGAGCGAGACCCGCACUUCUAAUUGCCAGCAACAGUUUCGACUGGUUGGGUACAUUAGAAGGACUGCCGCUGCUAAAGCGGAGGAAGGAACGGGCAACGGUAGGUCAGUAUGCCCCGAAUGAGCUGGGCUACACGCGGGCUACAAUGGCCGAGACAAUGGGUUGCUAUCUCGAAAGAGAACGCUAAUCUCCUAAACUCGGUCGUAGUUCGGAUUGAGGGCUGAAACCCGCCCUCAUGAAGCUGGAUUCGGUAGUAAUCGCAUUUCAGAAGAGUGCGGUGAAUACGUCCCUGCUCCUUGCACACACCGCCCGUCAAAGCACCCGAGUGAGGUCCGGAUGAGGCCACCACACGGUGGUCG
rnacentral:rRNA from 1 species